AUUCUACUCCCUCCGUUGCACAAUACAUGCCUUCUAUUUGUCAAAAUAUAUAUAUGUAUCUAGACAUGUUUUAGUAUAUAGGUACAUCCAUUUUUGGACAAAUGGAAGUCAAGUAUUUUGGAACGGAGGGAGUACACA
rnacentral:pre_miRNA from 1 species